rnacentral:ncRNA from 1 species
UGCGGGCAGGCGCCGGGAAGUCUCCGAGUUGUCUUCGCGACAGCAGCGUCCAUUGCGGCGUGCAUCAGGAGCCGGGGGCCCGCGCCUUU